UGGUGACCUCUGGAGCAAAGAGUCCCAUCAGGACCUCCCACCAUGUUGGCACAGCUUCCUGGCAGACUGCGUGCUCCCAGACUCCAGGUGUCCCUCCGGAUGGUGGUCUGCUGUGGACUGGUUUAUACUGGUUUAUACCUACCAAAAAAGCACCUCAGGCUGGAAGAACAGAAGGCGUGACGUACAUCAGAAGGAGGGUGCAAACAGCGGGCAGGAGGCGAAG